rnacentral:sRNA from 1 species
UGAUACAAGGUUCAAAAGGUCGGAACUCGUUCCUGCCUGCAGGAUAAGAGCUCUGACUUGUUGACCCGCACACAUGAGGAAGUAGUGAUUUUCCUGGGAAAAUCAACGGAUUCCGAAUGUGUGUAGAAUUGCGAGAGUUGCAUAGCAACGGAGCAAUUUGUGUAUCA